GCAUUAAUGGGGUAGUGGUAACCUGGGUCGUUGCCAUUCCAAACUUUAAGGCAUGCUUCGACCCGCCGGGGGUUCGAUUCCCCCUUAAUGCA